rnacentral:tRNA from 1 species
UUGCUGGCGGUUAGGCUUGAGGAGCCUCCGGCUUGGAUCUGGAAGUCGGCCACGCUGUCGCCGUUCAGGUCGGCGCCGACGAUC